UACAGAGGUCUCAAGCGUUGUCCGGAUUUAUUGGGCGUAAAGAGCGUGUAGGCGGCCAGGUAGGUCUGCUGUGAAAACUCGAGGCUCAACCUCGAGAUGUCGGCGGAAACCAUCUGGCUAGAGUCCGGAAGAGGAAAGUGGAAUUCCUGGUGUAGCGGUGAAAUGCGCAGAUAUCAGGAAGAACACCCGUGGCGAAGGCGGCUUUCUGGGACGGUACUGACGCUGAGACGCGAAAGCGUGGGGAGCGAACAGG
rnacentral:rRNA from 1 species